rnacentral:tRNA from 4 species
GUCCCCGUAGCUUAAUGGAUAAAGUAGAGCUCUUCUAAGGCUUUGAUGCAGGUUCGAUUCCUGCCGGGGACACAA